rnacentral:sRNA from 1 species
CAACGUGUCGUCAGCGUAACAAAUUACGC